GACGAACGCUGGCGGCGUGCCUAAUACAUGCAAGUCGAGCGAAGUUUUUCUGGUGCUUGCACCGGAAAAACUUAGCGGCGAACGGGUGAGUAACACGUAAAGAACCUGCCUUAUAGACUGGGACAACUAUUGGAAACGAUAGCUAAUACCGGAUAGCAGCAUUAACUGCAUGGUUGAUGUUUGAAAGUUGGUUUUGCUAACACUAUGAGAUGGCUUUGCGGUGCAUUAGCUAGUUGGUGGGGUAAAGGCCUACCAAGGCGACGAUGCAUAGCCGACCUGAGAGGGUGAUCGGCCACACUGGGACUGAGACACGGCCCAGACUCCUACGGGAGGCAGCAGUAGGGAAUCUUCCGCAAUGGGCGAAAGCCUGACGGAGCAACGCCGCGUGAGUGAAGAAGGAUUUCGGUUCGUAAAGCUCUGUUGUUAGGGAAGAAUGAUUGUGUAGUAACUAUACACAGUAGAGACGGUACCUAACCAGAAAGCCACGGCUAACUACGUG
rnacentral:rRNA from 1 species